rnacentral:rRNA from 1 species
GGACUACAGGGGUUUCUAAUCCCGUUUGCUCCCCUGGCUUUCGCGCCUCAGCGUCAGAAAGGGUCCAGCACGUCGCUUUCGCCACCGGCGUUCCUUCCGAUAUCUACGCAUUUCACCGCUCCACCGGAAGUUCCACAUGCCCCUACCCCCCUCAAGAUGGCCAGUAUCAAAAGCUGUUCUCCAGUUGAGCUGGAGGAUUUCACCCCUGACUUAACCACCCGCCUACGCGCCCUUUAAGCCCAGUGAUUCCGAACAACGUUUGCACGGUUCGUCUUACCGCGGCUGCUGGCAC